GACGAACGCUGGCGGCGCGCCUAACACAUGCAAGUCGAACGAGCGAGAGAGAGCUUGCUUUCUCGAGCGAGUGGCGAACGGGUGAGUAACGCGUGAGGAACCUGCCUCAAAGAGGGGGACAACAGUUGGAAACGACUGCUAAUACCGCAUAAGCCCACAGCUCGGCAUCGAGCAGAGGGAAAAGGAGCAAUCCGCUUUGAGAUGGCCUCGCGUCCGAUUAGCUAGUUGGUGAGGUAACGGCCCACCAAGGCAACGAUCGGUAGCCGGACUGAGAGGUUGAACGGCCACAUUGGGACUGAGACACGGCCCAGACUCCUACGGGAGGCAGCAGUGGGGAAUAUUGCACAAUGGGGGAAACCCUGAUGCAGCGACGCCGCGUGGAGGAAGAAGGUCUUCGGAUUGUAAACUCCUGUUGUUGAGGAAGAUAAUGACGGUACUCAACAAGGAAGUGACGGCUAACUACGUGCCAGCAGCCGCGGUAAAACGUAGGUCACAAGCGUUGUCCGGAAUUACUGGGUGUAAAGGGAGCGCAGGCGGGAAGACAAGUUGGAAGUGAAAUCUAUGGGCUCAACCCAUAAACUGCUUUCAAAACUGUUUUUCUUGAGUAGUGCAGAGGUAGGCGGAAUUCCCGGUGUAGCGGUGGAAUGCGUAGAUAUCGGGAGGAACACCAGUGGCGAAGGCGGCCUACUGGGCACCAACUGACGCUGAGGCUCGAAAGUGUGGGUAGCAAACAGGAUUAGAUACCCUGGUAGUCCACACCGUAAACGAUGAUUACUAGGUGUUGGAGGAUUGACCCCUUCAGUGCCGCAGUUAACACAAUAAGUAAUCCACCUGGGGAGUACGACCGCAAGGUUGAAACUCAAAGGAAUUGACGGGGGCCCGCACAAGCAGUGGAGUAUGUGGUUUAAUUCGACGCAACGCGAAGAACCUUACCAAGUCUUGACAUCCUGCGACGCACAUAGAAAUAUGUGUUUCCUUCGGGACGCAGAGACAGGUGGUGCAUGGUUGUCGUCAGCUCGUGUCGUGAGAUGUUGGGUUAAGUCCCGCAACGAGCGCAACCCUUACUGUCAGUUACUACGCAAGAGGACUCUGGCAGGACUGCCGUUGACAAAACGGAGGAAGGUGGGGAUGACGUCAAAUCAUCAUGCCCUUUAUGACUUGGGCUACACACGUACUACAAUGGCGUUAAACAAAGAGAAGCAAGACCGCGAGGUGGAGCAAAACUCAGAAACAACGUCCCAGUUCGGACUGCAGGCUGCAACUCGCCUGCACGAAGUCGGAAUUGCUAGUAAUCGUGGAUCAGCAUGCCACGGUGAAUACGUUCCCGGGCCU
rnacentral:rRNA from 1 species